GUUUCAAACAAGUAUUUGCUGUGUUGCCAAAGUAGAAAGAGCAGAAGGGAAACAUCAUGGGAAGAAAGACUAUUUUGUUUCUGAUUGCAGGGGUCCUUGGGGCAUAUUAUGUUUAUACUCCUCUCUCAGAUAAUAUUGAGGAACUCUGGUGACUGGUGUGGAUAGCUACACCUGUGAAAAUGGUAACAAAUUUGGCUUUGUUAGUUGAACUCUUGGGAAUCAAUCAUUUCAUGAAUACUGCAACGUUCUUUGUGAGCUUUCAAGAAGUCCCACCUACAUCUGAUGAAAAUGUCACCAUGAUAGAGACAACUUUCAGUAACAUUCCUGUCCGUGUAUACAUGCCAACACUAAAGUCAGAGAUACUAAGAACGGGCUUAGUUUAUAUUCAUGGUGGUGGUUGGUGUAUGGGGGAUGCUGGUAUGUGUUCCAUAUUAAAAGUUUUAGUUUAUCAUAUAACAUACAUUUUACUGAAAUGUUGACUCCAUCAUAUCAAGACAAACAUGUUAGAUAACAAAACACUUCAGCUGUCCAAAAUUUAUUUCUUUGGAGCUAUGUAGAUUUAAAAGAACUAUUUUAAAUCUCAUUCUGAAAGAGGGCAUAAUAAAUACCAAAAGCUGUAGCAAAUCUCAGGUAAGAAGAGAAUGUGUUUCACGCACUUAGACAUUUAUUAUUAAUUGCAGAUUUGAUAGAAAGUUGCAGUAGAAAACAAUGAGGUGA
ensembl:lncRNA AADACP1 arylacetamide deacetylase pseudogene 1